CACACACACACACACACACACAUGUGAUCUACAGGGCGGCGGAUCGAGGCGGUAGGUAGUUUAGCGUAGGCGUAUAGUUGAUCGUUCUGUUCCAUUAAGAAUUAAAUAAUGUCAAAUUCGAAUUGUAAUAAUUAAGUCGAGCGUGUGGUGCCCAUUUUGGCACGUGAAAAGUAUGCCCGUAGUGUGAGGCCGUUUCGCGAGCGGACACUUGUUACAUAUCUUACACUGUAUAUUAGUUUAGUUUAAGGGGAAUUCGAAGCUCACGCGUGACCACUUCGGCGUUAGAUAGUUAGGUCCGUGAAACUUUUAAUAA